AGAGCCGCGGUAUCCUGACUGUGCGAAGGUAGCAUAAUAAUUAGUCUUUUAAUUGAAGGCUUGUAUGAAUGGUUGGACGAGAAAUAGACUGUUUUUUAGUAAAAAUUUGAAUUUAACUUUUAAGUGAAAAGGCUUAAGUCCUAUAAAAAGACGAUAAGACCCUAUAAAUCUUGACAUUAAGUUAAAAAUUAGAAAUUAUUUGUAAGUAAAAAUUUUUGUUAUUUUUAACAGUGUUUUAUUGGGGCAAUAUAAAUAGCUAAGAAUCUGUUUUUAAAAUGUUACAAUAAAUUAUUGCAUUAGAAGUUAAGAUCCUUAUUAAAGAUUAUAAGAUUAAGUUACUUUAGGGAUAACAGCGUUAUUUUAUUUAAGAGUUCUUAUCGAAAAUAAAGUUUGCGACCUCGAUGUUGAAUUAAAAUUUCCUUAUGGUGCAGCAGCUAUACUGGAGAGUCUGUUCGACUU
rnacentral:rRNA from 1 species